UCAUCUGGAGUUAAUGUUAAAAACAAUUUUUUGAGAUUAAAAACAAAUAUUUUCAUGAUCUUUUUUGGCAUUGUACAUGUUUGUUCAGGUUUUAAACAUGCAUUGUUUAAUGCAGUACUCUGUCAUAUUAACAAAAUGGUUUUAUUUUUACAGUCAUCAACAUGGAAGAUAUGUUUUGUUCCUAACCAUCUAUAAUCAAUUCUCUAUGAAGUUCAGACUGUCUGCUCUUCCUUUGGAAAUACACAGUUAGUCAACCAACAUAGAAACACACAAACUUGAAGGAUUCUCUAGUGAGGGCUUAUGGAAACGAUCUAUGUCUACUCUUAGAAUGGUGAAAGACUAUCAGAUUAUGCAAAGACUAACAGAAUAUCCUCUCUUGGAACACUGAAACAAGAAAACCAAACUUAAGAUGAUGGAGGAUUUAAGAAGAACAUAGAUAAAUAUGAUUUCCAACGAAUUUAACCAGUACGAUCAUAGAUUGUGGUUUACAGGAUGACAAAGAAAGGACCCAGGAUUGUAUCUUUCAAUGUCAGACACUGACUAUGGAUAAAGUGUAAUCAUUUAUCAAACUGAGAUCUAGUCAAAUCAAGUAUUGAAAACAUGAUUUUCUGAUAGUAUGAGAUCUUCAAAAAAAAUUAAUUCUCACGGACCUCAAAGUAUCUGAAUGUGACUUUUAUUUUUACCAAUUCAUAUUGAAGACUGUUGUUAUGUAUGGGAAUUACACAUUUAAACCUUUUAUUUUUCAUCUAAUUUUUACAACCCCCUAGAAAUUACAGAGAUAUCCAGAUGCUGGAUUUAAUGUUAUUAUUUAACUUUCCUGGAAUUGUAAAUAUAUUUUGUUUUGUAUGUAUCAUGUUUAAUUUUGAAUUUAAAAUUGGUCUCAAUAAGACCCCCAAUAAAGAUGCAAGUGUCACAUAAUCUGUGGUUUAAUAAUAUCUUGAAUAUCUUUAUCAUACCAUAUUCAUCAUACUAAUUACAUAUAGAAUGGUUGUAGGAAUACACUUUGUUGUUUAGGACACUUUGUCAAGGUCAAAGCAUAAGAUUAUUGAGAUGACUUCUUUGACAAUAAUUUGUAACCUACAAACUUCACAUAAUAAGUAAAGAAUGAAUCGAAGAUUUUCUAUAGAUUUUUGGAUCAUUUUUCUCCUGGGUAAAAGUCAGUUGCUGAGAUAAUUAAUACUAGCCUAGCCUAAUGAUGUAACUUUAACUAGAGACUUUAUAUCUGCUAUAUUGGGUGGCAUGGCACAUUCUUUGGGAAGAAUUGAAAUGUAAAUCAAAUGUACAAUGUUCAAGGGUGUUUAUAUGACUAUUACUAUGUAAUACCUAGGGUUUCUGUAAAAAUCCUAUAUUCACUACAUAGAUAAAGACCGGUAUAAUAUAUAUUUUACACUAUGAUGAAGGAAAAAAAGGUCAAAAGCUCUCGCCUUCAUAUCUUUCAUAUUCUGUCAUACACAACAAUAGAUGAAUUGCAGUCAUAUAACAAACUGAGGUCUAAUCAAAUCCUAGAAUUGAUUUUCUGAUAGUAUGAGAUCUUCAAAAAAAAAAAAAAAUAAUUCCCAGACUUCAAAGUAUUUAAAUGUGACUUUUAUUUUUACCAAUUCAUAUUGAAGACAGUUGUUAUGUAUGAGAAGUAUACAUUUAAACCUUUCAUUUUUCAUCUUAUUUCUACAACCCCUAACAAAUUACAUAGAUGUUUAAAAGCUAGCUUUGGUGUAAUUAUUACUUUCCUGGAACUGUAAAUACAUUUUGUUUGUGUAUGUGUGUGUCCUAUUUCGAAUUUAAUAGGUCUCAAUAGGACCCCCAUAAAGAUGUAAGUGUCCCCUGAUCUGUGAUGUAAUAAUAUCUUGAAUAUUUCUAUCAACCAUUAGACUUCAUGCUUACUACACA